rnacentral:ribozyme from 1 species
CAUGCAAGAAUGAACAGAACAAACAAGCAACAAACAACUCAGAAGAAGAAAGAAAAAAAGCAGAGAGUCGGGAGGUUAGCUUCCUUCCAGUUUGACGAACCCUCCUCCCUUCCUUCCUUCCUUUUUUCUCUCUCUGCUUCCUUCCACU